GAUGAACGCUGGCGGCGUGCCUAAUACAUGCAAGUCGAACGCAUUGAGAGAAGUGCUUGCACUUUUCAAUUUGAGUGGCGAACGGGUGAGUAACACGUGGGCAACCUACCUGAUAGCGGGGGAUAACGAGUGGAAACAUUCGCUAAUACCGCAUAACAAUAGAGAAGGCAUCUUCUUUAUUUAAAAGGCGCUUUCAAGCGCCACUAUCAGAUGGGCCCGCGGUGCAUUAGUUGGUUGGUGGGGUGAAGGCCUACCAAGACGAUGAUGCAUAGCCGAGUUGAGAGACUGAUCGGCCACAUUGGGACUGAGACACGGCCCAAACUCCUACGGGAGGCUGCAGUAGGGAAUCUUCCACAAUGGACGAAAGUCUGAUGGAGCAACGCCGCGUGUGUGAUGAAGGCUUUCGGGUCGUAAAGCACUGUUGUAUGGGAAGAAAUGCUAGGCUAGGAAAUGGGCUUAGUUUGACGGUACCAUACCAGAAAGGGACGGCUAAAUACGUGCCAGCAGCCGCGGUAA
rnacentral:rRNA from 1 species